GAGAAGUCCACAGUGCUGCAGUCUGAGCUGGAAUCCUGUAAGGAGCUGCAGGAGCUGGAGCCUGAGAAUAAAUGUAAGGCCCCAUUCCAUGAGAGUCUGCUCCCAGAGCCCGCUGAGGAAACCCCUUUCCAGUGUGGCCCUGAGAGAUCAGCAGGAAGACCUCAGGAGGAUGGGAGCAGAGGAGGAUCCAGGAGAAACCCUCCUUUUCCCUGCCCUCUCCUCAGGGUGCCUGCUUACCAUCAUCCUGCUGAUGCGGGCACUGGACCCCCUGCUGUAUGAGAAGGAGACUCUGCAGUACUUCCAGACCCUCAAGGCCGUGGACCCCAUGCGGGCAGCGUAUCUGGAUGACCUGCGCAGCAAGUUCUUGCUGGAGAAUAGCGUGCUCAAGAUGGAGUAUGCCGAGGUGCGUGUGCUGCACCUGGCUCACAAGGAUCUGACAGUGCUCUGCCAUCUGGAACAGCUGCUCUUGGUCACCCAUCUUGACCUGUCACACAAUCGUCUCCGAACCCUGCCACCUGCACUGGCUGCCCUGCG
rnacentral:sRNA from 1 species